CUUUAUUGGAGAGUUUGAUCCUGGCUCAGGAUGAACGCUGGCGGCGUGCCUAAUACAUGCAAGUCGAGCGAAUGGAUUGAGAGCUUGCUCUCAAGAAGUUAGCGGCGGACGGGUGAGUAACACGUGGGUAACCUGCCCAUAAGACUGGGAUAACUCCGGGAAACCGGGGCUAAUACCGGAUAACAUUUUGAACUGCAUGGUUCGAAAUUGAAAGGCGGCUUCGGCUGUCACUUAUGGAUGGA
rnacentral:rRNA from 1 species